rnacentral:tRNA from 1 species
GCAUUGGUGGCCCAGUGGUAGAGCCCCCGUCUACCACGCCCGGCGGCCCCGGUUCAUAUCCCAGCCACUGUG